ACUCCUACGGGAGGCAGCAGUGGGGAAUAUUGGACAAUGGGGGAAACCCUGAUCCAGCAAUACCGCGUGUGUGAAGAAGGCCUUCGGGUUGUAAAGCACUUUUAGCAGUAAAGAAAGACUAUGCUCUAAUACCGCAUUGUUUUGACGUUACUUGCAGAAAAAGCACCGGCUAACUCCGUGCCAGCAGCCGCGGUAAU
rnacentral:rRNA from 1 species